UACGUAGGUGGCAAGCGUUGUCCGGAUUUACUGGGCGUAAAGGGCGCGCAGGCGGCGAUUUUUGUCAGGCGUGAAAUCCCCUGGCUUAACCUGGGAACGGCGCUUGGGACGGGAUCGCUAGAGAUCGGGAGAGGAGAGUGGAAUUCCCAGUGUAGAGGUGAAAUGCGUAGAGAUGGGGAAGAACACCGGUGGCGAAGGCGGCUCUCUGGACCGAUACUGACGCUGAGGCGCGAAAGCGUGGGGAGCAAACAGG
rnacentral:rRNA from 1 species